rnacentral:rRNA from 1 species
GUGAGUAACGCGUGAGAAUCUGGCUCCAGGUCGGGGAUAACAGUUGGAAACGACUGCUAAUACCGGAUGUGCCGAGAGGUGAAAGAUUUAUUGCCUGGAGAUGAGCUCGCGUCUGAUUAGCUAGUUGGUGGUGUAAGGGACCACCAAGGCGUCGAUCAGUAGCUGGUCUGAGAGGAUGAUCAGCCACACUGGGACUGAGACACGGCCCAGACUCCUACGGGAGGCAGCAGUGGGGAAUUUUCCGCAAUGGGCGAAAGCCUGACGGAGCAAUACCGCGUGAGGGAGGAAGGCUCUUGGGUCGUAAACCUCUUUUCUCAAGGAAGAAGAAAGUGACGGUACUUGAGGAAUAAGCAUCGGCUAACUCCGUGCCAGCAGCCGCGGUAAUACGGAGGAUGCAAGCGUUAUCCGGAAUGAUUGGGCGUAAAGGGUCUGCAGGUGGAACUGAAAGUCUGCUGUUAAAGAGUUUGGCUUAACCAAAUAAAAGCGGUGGAAACUACAGAACUAGAGUGCGGUAGGGGCAAAAGGAAUUCCUGGUGUAGCGGUGAAAUGCGUAGAUAUCAGGAAGAACACCGGUGGCGAAAGCGUUUUGCUAGACCGUAACUGACACUGAGGGACGAAAGCUAGGGGAGCGAAUGGGAUUAGAUACCCCAGUAGUCCUAGCCGUAAACGAUGGAUACUAGGCGUGGCUUGUAUCGACCCGAGCCGUGCCGGAGCUAACGCGUUAAGUAUCCCGCCUGGGGAGUACGCACGCAAGUGUGAAACUCAAAGGAAUUGACGGGGGCCCGCACAAGCGGUGGAGUAUGUGGUUUAAUUCGAUGCAACGCGAAGAACCUUACCAAGACUUGACAUCCUGCGAAUCCUGGUGAAAGCUGGGAGUGCCUUCGGGAGCGCAGAGACAGGUGGUGCAUGGCUGUCGUCAGCUCGUGUCGUGAGAUGUUGGGUUAAGUCCCGCAACGAGCGCAACCCUCGUUUUUAGUUGCCAGCAUUAAGUUGGGCACUCUAGAGAGACUGCCGGUGACAAACCGGAGGAAGGUGAGGAUGACGUCAAGUCAGCAUGCCCCUUACGUCUUGGGCUACACACGUACUACAAUGCUACGGACAGAGGGCAGCGAGCCAGGGAUGGCAAGCGAAUCCAGAAACCGUAGCUCAGUUCAGAUCGAAGGCUGCAACUCGCCUUCGUGAAGGAGGAAUCGCUAGUAAUUGCAGGUCAGCAUACUGCAGUGAAUUCGUUCCCGGGCCUUGUACACACCGCCCGUCACACCAUGGAAGUUGGUCACGCCCGAAGUCAUUACCCCAACCGAAAGGAGGGGGAUGCCUAAGGUAGGACUGGUGACUGGGGUGAAGUCGUAACAAGGUAGCCGUA